rnacentral:rRNA from 1 species
CACGUAGGCGGACUCUUAAGUCGGUGGUGAAAUCCUAGAGCUCAACUCUAGAACUGCCUUCGAUACUGAGAGUCUUGAGUCCGGGAGAGGUGAGUGGAACUGCGAGUGUAGAGGUGAAAUUCGUAGAUAUUCGCAAGAACACCAGUGGCGAAGGCGGCUCACUGGCCCGGUACUGACGCUGAGGUGCGAAAGCGUGGGAGCAAACA